CUCCCUCCAUUUCCGCAAAUUAUAAUAAACUUUCUCAUAAUUAUCCAUGGUUUAGGGUUUAAAGCACAUCAUUCUCUUCUUGAAUGUUUAUAACAUUUUUUUAAAUAAUAUUAUUAUAAUAUAAUCUUUCUUUAUUUAUUUACACUUCCAACUUCUAACCCACUUGAGUUCACUAGUCUUUAUUUUUUUUUUUGUUGGACUUUGGGCCUCAUGCUUAGAUUUAAUUGCUGUCUGCUUAAUGCAUUCUAAUUUACCUUCUUUUUUUAAAAUUUAAAAAAAAAAAGGCAUUGUGGAAAGAUAAAACUUGGAAAUAAUCCUAACACCUUUGGAAAAAAAAAAAAACGCCUGCAAAGCAUGAACUAAACAAGACUUAAAACUCAAGACCUUAUAAUUCUGAAAACAAUUUCAUUACGAUUAAACUAUGACUUACCCAUUAAGGGCAACAUAAAAGGUCCUCUAUUCAAGGGGUGCCCGGAGGUGCGUCUUGAUUGUUAUCAUAACCACCGAAAGCUUGCCUUGGAAUGUUGUGAUGGUUAUUUAUUAAUUCAGGCUCACCACCCACAUCUGAAUUCUUCUUCACCUCCGAGUUAUUAUCAUUUUGCUUGAUUUCCAUCACAGACGCCGACUUCUCACCUCCAUUCAUCAUCAUCCUCCUGUUGAUGGCAAAACUGAAGUUGGCCAUGACAAGAAGAAACAGGAAGGCGGCUAAGAACCUCAUGGAGAAAUUUUUUUAAUGGAGUUGGCCUUUCUUGAAGGCAGCUAGAAGAAGAUGUGGGGAUUCUUAUAGAAGAAAGAAAAAAUCUGAUCGUGGAGUUUGCUGUAAGGUCUAGAUAGAUUAGUGGAGUAAUGGGCAAGAAGUAAUGGUGCAACUCCACGUAUUAAUUUGUGAAUAGUAAAAGAGCA
rnacentral:lncRNA from 1 species